rnacentral:rRNA from 1 species
GGUGAACGCUGGCGGCGUGCCUAACACAUGCAAGUCGAGCGGUGCAGUUUGAAGCUUCGGUGGAAAGCUGCAUAGCGGCGGACGGGUGAGGAAAACGUAGGAACGUGCCCCUUGGAGUUGGAUAGCCACGGGAAACUGUGGGUAAACCGACAUAGACUCGAGAGAGUAAAGGCCGAAAGGCGCCAAGGGAGCGGCCUGCGGCCCAUCAGGUAGUUGGUAGUGUAAAGGACUACCAAGCCGACGACGGGUAGCCGGUCUGAGAGGAUGGCCGGCCACAAGGGCACUGAGAGACGGGCCCUACUCCUACGGGAGGCAGCAGUAGGGAAUUUUCCGCAAUGGGCGAAAGCCUGACGGAGCAACGCCGCGUGAAGGAAGAAGGUCUUCGGAUCGUAAACUUUUGUCUUCAGGGACGAUAAUGACGGUACCUGAGAAGGAAGCCACGGCUAACUACGUG